UUAAGCUACUAAGAGCAUACGGUGGAUGCCUUGGCACGAGAAGGCGACGAAGGACGUGGCAAGCUGCGAUAAGCCUCGGGGAGCUGCAAACGAGCCUUGAUCCGGGGAUUUCCGAAUGGGGAAACCCAACGGGGUGAAUGCCCCGUUACCCACGACUGAAUUCAUAGGUCGUGUGGAGCGACACGCAGGAAACUGAAACAUCUAAGUACCUGCAGGAAGAGAAAUCAACAGAGAUUCCCCCAGUAGCGGCGAGCGAAAGGGGAACAGUCCAAACCGUCGAAUCUUCGGAUUCGACGGGGUUGUAGGGCCUCUAUUACGUGAUCCGCAAUUCGAUAGGUGAACGGUCUGGAAAGUCCGGCCAUAGAAGGUGAUAGCCCUGUAAUCGAAAUCGAAAGCGGCACCAGAGGUACCUGAGUACCACGGGACACGUGGAAUCCCGUGGGAAUCCGGGAGGACCACCUUCCAAGACUAAAUACUCUCUCGUGACCGAUAGUGAACCAGUACCGUAAGGGAAAGGUGAAAAGAACCCCGGGAGGGGAGUGAAAUAGUACCUGAAACCGUAUGCUUACAAGCUGUGGAAGGGCUGUGGCGUAAGCCCGCCUGACCGCGUGCCUUUUGCAUAAUGAUCCGGCGAGUUGUCCUUAUCAGCGUUAGGUUAAGGUGUUCAGCACUGGAGCCGCAGCGAAAGCGAGUCCUAACCGGGCGUUCAGUUGAUGGGGGCAGACCCGAAAGUGAGUGAGCUACCCAUGGCCAGGGUGAAGCAGGUGUAACAGCCUGUGAAGGCCCGAACCAGUGUCGGUUGAAAACGGCUUGGAUGAGCUGUGGGUAGGGGUGAAAGGCCAAUCAAACUCACAGAUAGCUGGUUCUCCUCGAAAUCGCUUUGGGGCGAGCCUCAGAUGAUUAAUCUCGGUGGUAAAGCACUGAUUGGACUAGGGGCCCUACCAGGUUACCGAACCCAGUCAAACUCUGAAUGCCGGGAUUCAAAGUCUGGGAGUCAGACAGUGGGGGAUAAGCUUCAUUGUCGAAAGGGAAACAGCCCAGACCGCCGGCUAAGGUCCCCAAAUGAAUGCUAAGUGGAAAAGGUUGUCAGAAAAGCUGGACAGCUAGGAUGUUGGCUUAGAAGCAGCCAUUCAUUUAAAGAGUGCGUAAUAGCUCACUAGCCGAUUUUUCUUGCGCCGAUAAUUUAACGGGGCUUAAGCAUUCUACCGAAGCCGCGGAUCCGUGCUUAGCACGGGUGGUAGAGGAGCGUUCCGCUGUAGGUUGAAGGUCGACCGUAAGGACGGCUGGACGAAGCGGAAAUGAGUAUGCCGGAACGAGUAGCGAAAAAACGGGUGAAAACCCCGUUCGCCGAAAGCCAAAGGUUUCCUGGGCAAGGUCAAUCCGCUCAGGGUUAGUCGGUCCUAAGCCGAGGCCGAAAGGCGUAGGUGAUGGGUAACAGGUUAAUAUUCCUGUACCACCUUAUUCACGUUAUGAGUAUGGGGUGACGCAGAAGGAACAGCCAGCCGGCGAUUGGAAGUGCCGGUCUAAGCCUGUAGGUGGGUUUCCAGGCAAAUCCGGAAACCAUAUAACACCGAGGGGUUAUGGGGUGACUACCUUUGGUAGUCGGAAGUGGCUCGCACCAUGCUGCCAAGAAAAACCUCGUUUGCCAGUGAAUAGGGUGACCGUACCGCAAACGGACACACGUAGGCGAGGAGAGUAUCCUCAGGCGCUCGAGAGAACCCUCGUUAAGGAACUCGGCAAGUUAGCCCCGUAACUUCGGAAGAAGGGGUGCCCUGAUCCGUGAACACUCUAGCGGUGGGAGCGGCAUGGGGCCGCAGUGAAAGGGGCCAAGCGACUGUUUAACAAAAACACAGGACUCUGCAAAAUCGAAAGAUGAGGUAUAGGGUCUGACGCCUGCCCGGUGCCGGAAGGUUAAGAGGAGGUGUUAUCCUUCGGGAGAAGCACUGAAUCGAAGCCCCGGUAAACGGCGGCCGUAACUAUAACGGUCCUAAGGUAGCGAAAUUCCUUGUCGGGUAAGUUCCGACCUGCACGAAUGGCGUAACGAUUUGGCCACUGUCUCAACGAGGGACUCGGCGAAACUGUAAUACCUGUGAAGAUGCAGGUUACCCGCGACAAGACGAAAAGACCCCGUGCACCUUUACUACAACUUUGCAUUGGAUUUUGGCUCGAUUUGUACAGGAUAGGUGGGAGUCGGUGAAGCUGGGGCGCUAGCCUCGGUGGAGACAAUCUUGGGAUACCACCCUGAUCGUGUUGGAAUUCUAACCGCGAUCCGUUACCCGGAUCCGGGACAGUGCAUGGUGGGUAGUUUGACUGGGGCGGUCGCCUCCCAAAUCGUAACGGAGGCGCUCGAAGGUUCCCUCAGCGCGGUUGGUAAUCGCGCGGCGAGUGUAAAGGCAAAAGGGAGCUUGACUGCGAGACGGACACGUCGAGCAGGUGGGAAACCAGGACUUAGUGAUCCUGCGGCUCUGAGUGGAAGGGCCGUGGCUCAACGGAUAAAAGGUACGCCGGGGAUAACAGGCUUAUCCUGCCCAAGAGCUCAUAUCGACGGCAGGGUUUGGCACCUCGAUGUCGGCUCAUCGCAUCCUGGGGCUGGAGAAGGUCCCAAGGGUUUGGCUGUUCGCCAAUUAAAGCGGUACGCGAGCUGGGUUCAGAACGUCGUGAGACAGUUCGGUCUCUAUCUGUCGUGGGCGUAGGAGAUUUGAGGGGACCUGACCUUAGUACGAGAGGACCGGGUCGGACGAGGCACCGGUGUUCCUGUUGUCGCGCCAGCGGCAUUGCAGGGUAGCUGUCCUCGGACAGGAUAAACGCUGAAAGCAUCUAAGCGUGAAGCCUACCCCAAGAUAAGAUCUCCCGUGGGACAACCCACCUAAAGACCCCUGGAAGACUACCAGGUUGAUAGGCCGCACGUGGAAGCAUGGCGACAUGUGGAGCGAAGCGGUACUAAUCGGUCGUGCGGCUUAACUAU
rnacentral:rRNA from 1 species